CUGAUAUUUACGUAUAUGUUCUGUAUAUUAUUUUUGAUAAAAGCUGUUCGACCUUGGCUCACGUAAAUAUUUCGUCACAUGUAACAAUCCCUCUCCUCCAUAAUAUCAUUCCGCUUAGUAGGAGGUUUCCGUUGGUAGCAAGCUUUUCUUGAUAUUGAGUUCCCCCUUUCGGUUAUAAACAUGAACAGCAACGUUUUACCGAGAGGUUCACCGGGGGACACGCACACCGUCUGCCCUACAUAAAAUGCACCCAUUGUAGGCCGAGGUGUCAGCUGAGGACGACUUGCAACCUAGAAACGGCGGUUUAGCCCCUCCUUCCCUUUGUCAGUCGCAUUGUAAAUGUUAGCCUGAGGUCUUCUGAGGUAUUUUUUUGUCCAAAAAUAGAUCGUAAAAUUGGCAUAAACUGCAGAAGUAAAAUUUCGACCGUACGAAUACAGUUUUUUGCGUUUUAACAACGCUUUUCUAGACUCCUCACGAUUCUUUAUCAAAGGCGCUGUCCCAGGGAACUGUGCCCAAUGACAUCAUCCAAGCCUUUUGUAUACAGUUGCUAGGGGUUACUGGGUGACAUUUCAAACAGUCCUGCUCUAGUUGUAUUCGAGAUACGCGGUCUCAUUUCUCUGUAUUAACAUAAAACGGACUAAAGACAAAGUUUGAUCUUUGUUUUAAACAGAGGUAAUGCAUUUGAUAUACUUUCUAAAAGAGCGAACGCUAACUAUUUGAGUUAUAAUGCUACUCGGAAGUACACUUCGCAACUUACUUUUUGUAUAUGUCGUUUCUAGUACACUACAUUAGCAUAAACUUUGUGAGAUGGCAGAUUCUGUUCUCUCAGAAAAACUGCUUAUCACCGAGAGUGCGGAGAGCUUUCGUGGUACAUCAGUGUUCACGGAUCCUUAUGAACGCUCUGUUAAAUAUAUGGAGACUCAUAAUAUUCUUCAGAUAUUUCAGGACAUCACAGAGAAACUGGUUUUUGAUAGACCAGAUGAUCCACUUCAGUUCAUGUUAGAACAGGUGCAAAUGAAGAUCAAAGUCCGUGAUGAGUCAAGCAAUACAUUCGCCAAAUCAUAAUGAAUUCUAAAGCAAAGUAACAAGUGCUUUGCAAGGAAUUUAAUCUAAGUUUAUUCUUUUAUUUAUAUAUUUUUUUAAAUGAGGUGUUUUGGUUGCUGCAGGUCAUUCAGUGACUCUGCGUUGUUGUUGUUUCCAAGCAACUGUCUUCCAAAUUUAUCAAGUUUGUGAGUGUCUUUGACCUAAAUAUCUCAAUAUACUCAAGUGGCAAGUUAGAUCUUUCAAAUCUGAAAACAAUAUGUAACUUGAGAGGAAUUACUGACAGGCUUUCUCUAGAUAUCAGAGCCACAGAAUGGAUUGAUUUGCAUGCUAGCAUUAUCACUCACAAUUCUCAGAUUGUUAUAUGAAAUAACUAUAUUUUAUAAAUUUUAUAUAUCUAUAUAUAUUUUAUAUAUCUAUAUAUAUCUUUUAUAUUUUGUAUUAAUUUAUAAUACAAAGUAACUACUAGUUUCCACAUUUUGCAAGUAUUCUCCAUAAAAUUGCUUGCCAGACACAAGCUGGCUUUGCUCUGUACUCAAAUUUCCAUGAUGUAUCUUAGCUGCAUAAAUAAAGGAAGUCUUUGUUUAAAGUAGGCUCUUCUUACAGGGUAUUUCUAUAUUUAUUUACAUUUACUCUGGAGCAACAUAUUGUGUUUCAAGACUGGUUUAUCACAUUUUUAAAUAAAAAUGAAUGUCAAAAUAAGUUCACAGUUACAUUGUCUAUUUGCGUUUAUUGUGUAUUUUUUAAACACAACUCUAAGUUGUAUUUAAUGAGUAAACAAGAGUAGAAUAAGAUGUAUUUUAACCAUCACAUCAUGUGAUAAGAAUUCGUUAGUAAAGUAAAAACAUUGCAUAUAAUUAUUAGGUCUUAUAUCAAAGCUUCUCCAGUUCUAAAAAUAUAACCGUACAUAUUGGUAAAUGCAUUUAUAGAUGUAUUUUAAAUGAAGUAUUUUUUUUUUAAAUGGUAGCUAGCUUUACAUUUACACAUUUGACAGACACUUUUACUCAAUGUGACUUACAAUGUAUUCAAGGUAUAUAUAUAUAUAUAUAUAUAUAUAUAUAUAUCUUUAGUGUAAAGUGUGUCAGGUUUAUCUGAUAGUAGUGAUCAGUGCGUGCAACUGCAGUAAAUACUACAACAAAUACUAUUAAAAUAUUGUAAAUUAUUUCACUAUAUUCAAAUUGUAUUAAAGCUUUUUCUGGCUGGUUUAUGAAAAUGUGAAUAUUAUUCUGCAACAUAAGACUUUGCAAUGUGAUUCUUGUUCUCAUAAAGUAUGGCCAUUGUUUUAUUUGAAAUAUAAAUUGUUCCUUUAUUCCCCAGUGAUUCAAUUUACCCCUAUAGAAUGAAGCAAAUUUUGUCCCUGAACCUCUUCACUUCACUAUUUAUGUAGGGUUCACAUUUCUAUGUUACACAUUUUCCAUUUUUGCACACAUCCUGAAAUAUCAGACGUGAUUUGCUUCUAUUUUUUAUCAUUUAUAUUUGCCUAAAAGACAACUGUAAGUAAGUGGCAAAACAUACCCCAUUUUCCCAUACUAUAUAUUUAAUUUCUGCUUUAUAUGUACCCUCACAUUACAGAAAAAUAUGCAAAUAGAAAUAUGGCAUUGAAGUGCUUAAGUAUACGUCACAGUGUACACAUUACAUGUGAAGUAUUUUUAUUAUUUUGUUUAGAAUGGAAUACAUACAAUAAAUCCAAUGUGACUGAAUACAAAAAGAGCAUAUUACAAGGUUAGUGUUCUUUGGUUACAAUAACUGACAACUUCAUCAUCUUUCAUUCUUGUCCCUGUCUGCUUCAAAAUACAUUUUCUCU